AUCUUCCACAAUGGACGAAAGUCUGAUGGAGCGACGCCGCGUGAGCGAAGAAGGUUUUCGGAUCGUAACGCUCUGUUGCGAGGGAAGCACAAGUACGGGAGUAACUGCCCGUACCCUGCCGGUACCUCGUCAGAAAGCCCCGGCUAACUACGUGCCCGCAGCCGCGGUAAUACGUAGGUGGCCAGCGUUGUCCGGAAUUAUUGGGCGUAAAGCGCGCGCAGGCGGUCCUUUAAGUCUGAUGUGAAAGCCCACGGCUCAACCGUGGAGGGUCAUUGGAAACUGGAGGACUUGAGUACAGAAGAGGAAAGCGGAAUUCCACGUGUAGCGGUGAAAUGCGUAGAGAUGUGGAGGAACACCAGUGGCGAAGGCGGCUUUCUGGUCUGUAACUGACGCUGAGGCGCGAAAGCGUGGGGAGCAAACA
rnacentral:rRNA from 1 species